UACGUAGGGCGCAAGCGUUGUCCGGAAUUAUUGGGCGUAAAGAGCUCGUAGGCGGCCUGUUGCGUCCGCUGUGAAAUCCCGGGGCUCAACCCCGGGCCUGCAGUGGAUACGGGCUGGCUAGAGGCAGGCAGGGGAGAACGGAAUUCCUGGUGUAGCGGUGAAAUGCGCAGAUAUCAGGAGGAACACCGGUGGCGAAGGCGGGUCUCUGGGGACAAUGACUGACGUGAGGAGCGAAAGCGUGGGGAGCAAACAGG
rnacentral:rRNA from 1 species